AGUGAACGCUGGCGGUAGGCCUAACACAUGCAAGUCGAACGGCAGCACAGUAAGAGCUUGCUCUUACGGGUGGCGAGUGGCGGACGGGUGAGGGAUACAUCGGAAUCUACUUUUUCGUGGGGGAGAACGUAGGGAAACUUACGCUAAUACCGCAUACGACCUACGGGUGAAAGCAGGGGAUCUUCGGACCUUGCGCGAUUGAAUGAGCCGAUGUCGGAUUAGCUAGUUGGCGGGGUAAAGGCCCACCAAGGCGACGAUCCGUAGCUGGUCUGAGAGGAUGAUCAGCCACACUGGAACUGAGACACGGUCCAGACUCCUACGGGAGGCAGCAGUGGGGAAUAUUGGACAAUGGGCGCAAGCCUGAUCCAGCCAUACCGCGUGGGUGAAGAAGGCCUUCGGGUUGUAAAGCCCUUUUGUUGGGAAAGAAAAGCAGCAGGUUAAUACCCCGCUGUUCUGACGGUACCCAAAGAAUAAGCACCGGCUAACUUCGUG
rnacentral:rRNA from 1 species